rnacentral:rRNA from 1 species
UACGUAGGGGGCAAGCGUUGUCCGGAAUCAUUGGGCGUAAAGGGUGCGUAGGCGGGUCUUUAAGUCAGGGGUGAAAUCCUGGAGCUCAACUCCAGAACUGCCUUUGAUACUGAGGAUCUUGAGUUCGGGAGAGGUGAGUGGAACUGCGAGUGUAGAGGUGAAAUUCGUAGAUAUUCGCAAGAACACCAGUGGCGAAGGCGGCUCACUGGCCCGAUACUGACGCUGAGGCACGAAAGCGUGGGGAGCAAACAGGG